GUUCGAGGGCGGUGGUCAGGGGGAGAAUCAGCUGGGGAAAAGGAGAAAAUUGCAUCAAUCAUGUUUCUGCAACGCGAUUUUGAUAUGAACAGAACUGUGGCUCAACAACCCAAAUAGUUGCACUAAGAUUCAGUUUCUGGUUUGUGGAAGUGACAGACUUUAGUCUGAUCUAUCUUUUUUAUCCUGAAUAACCACAUGUACUACAUACCACAAGGACAUACCUCCACAGUAAGACAAACUGAAACCCAGCUAUUAAAAAUUUGAUCAAUCAACAAGCAUUAAAAUUCUUUUUAGUUUUCCCUAAAUCAACGCCAUGCUAAUUGAUUAAUGGGUGAUCUUUGGACUACUACAACUACAAUGGAUAAGAACUUUUGGUUUGCGUGGUAUUCCUAGAGCAGAAAUUAUAUGCCUGCCAAUAUCCUCCUUUCUCUUCUAGCUCCUCGCCUUCUCUCCCUUCAGAUAUUUAGUAAUUUCAUUGAGAUGCUUCCUUGUUGUUGAAGGUAUUCCCUCUUUGCUUUAGAUUUCAAUCUAAAGUAACACAAAGUUAGGUAGUAUUGAAGCAACAGUGACUAACUACAUACAAUAUUUUAAGUUAACCAAGUUGGUCACGAACUGUGUUCAAGCCUUAAUAAGUCCUUGUUGAUUUCCAAACCCAAACCUUGGUCUUUCUUUAAGCUAAUAGGGAACAUGGAAAGUGAAUCAAUACACUUACUUUCUACUUUCGGUAUUUAUAUACAAAAUGAUUUUGUUUUAUUACCCACUUGCCUGUUUCCAUUUGUGUGUGUGCAAGUGGGUAAAGCUCUAGCUUGGUGUAGCAUAUGAACUCAAAUUCUUUUGCCUCUCUGACUGUAGAAACUUGAUAUGUCAAUACCAUUGAUUUCUAAAUUCAUACUUGCUGAUAAUUCAUAAAUCACCCUAACUACUUCCCGAGUACCAAUCUGUAAAGAGAGAGGUUAGGACUAAUUUCCUUUUUUUU
rnacentral:misc_RNA from 1 species